GUAAUUUUGCAAUAAUUUUGAUGGAAUUUAACGAAAAUUCUUGUAGUUUUACUGACGAUCUGUUUCGAAUUGAAUUGACAACAGUGCGCAAUUGUGGAAGGAGGACCGUUCUUCCUUUAUUUCGCUCUCUCUCGGUCUUCUGCGACGACUACACCGUUUCUCUCACGGACAGUUGAAUAUUCAUAGCUGUUCUGCUCAAAGAGAUUACCCCUUUCGUUCUCUCCCUGAGGUUUCUGCCAUUCUGAAUUUCCAGUGAGCAAAAAGGAGCAAACUUUCCAAGGAAAUCUCUCACUAUUUCAGAAUUCUCUGUGUUUUUGGCAUCUUUUUCUUCGGUUCUGUACUUCUGCUCUUCAGAAUCAUGGGUAUACUAGCUCUUUUGAAGAGUUAUCGGAGCUUAUGAAGGGAAAUCAGGGAUUUUAGCAGAGAAGGAUGAAUUGGGUAUCGGCUUCGGCUCUUCUUUUCUGCUUAAUAUCGCCUUUUCUUCAGCUCCCAUUAAUCUCCGGCAACGCCGAAGGUGAUGCCUUGAAUGCUUUGAAGACUAAUUUGGAUGAUCCCAAUAAUGUUCUGCAGAGCUGGGAUUCAACCCUUGUGAAUCCCUGCACUUGGUUUCAUGUUACAUGCAGUCCAGACAACAGUGUUACUAGAGUUGAUUUGGGAAAUGCGAAUUUGACGGGGCAACUGGUUCCGCAGCUUGGUCUGCUUCCGAAUUUGCAGUACUUGGAGCUUUACAGCAAUAAUAUAAGUGGAAUAAUUCCUAAUGAACUCGGGAACUUAACAAACUUGGUCAGUUUGGAUCUUUACAUGAACCACUUGACUGGUCCCAUCCCCAACUCCUUGGGCAAUCUUCAGAAACUGCGUUUCCUGAGGCUCAACAACAACACAUUGAAUGGAGGUAUUCCCAUGUCUUUAACGACAGUUUUUACACUUCAAGUCCUUGAUCUCUCUUCUAACCGUUUGCAAGGACAAAUCCCCGUGAAUGGUUCCUUCUCACUUUUCACUCCUAUCAGUUUUCAAAGUAAUCCCGGAUUGCGAGCUCCUCCGGUUUCCCCGCCUCCUCCGUUUUCUCCAACUCCCUCUUCUUCUUCAGGACGGAACAGCGAAACUGGGGCCAUAGCGGGAGGAGUAGCUGCGGGUGCUGCUCUUCUGUUUGCAGGUCCUGCAAUUUUGCUUGCUUGGUGGCGGCGAAGGAAACCUGACGUCUAUUUCUUUGAUGUUCCCGCUGAAGAAGACCCCGAAGUUCAUCUUGGACAGCUUAAGAAAUUCUCGUUGCGCGAACUUCAAAUCGCGACAGACAAUUUCAGCAACGGCAAUAUCCUUGGAAGAGGUGGAUUUGGUAAGGUUUACAAAGGGCGUUUGGCUGAUGGCUCUUUAGUUGCAGUUAAGAGACUAAAAGAGGAACGCACUCAAGGCGGGGAGAUGCAGUUCCAGACCGAGGUUGAAAUGAUCAGUAUGGCAGUGCAUAGAAACCUUCUCCGUUUACUCGGCUUUUGCAUGACACCAACAGAGCGAUUGCUUGUUUACCCGUACAUGGCAAAUGGAAGCGUUGCAUCACGUUUAAGAGAGCGACGAGACACAGAUACACCACUCGAUUGGGCAAAGAGGAAGUACAUUUCUCUUGGAGCUGCAAGAGGGCUGGCAUAUUUGCACGACCAUUGCGACCCGAAGAUUAUUCAUCGUGAUGUGAAAGCUGCGAAUAUCUUGCUGGACGAGGAGUUUGAAGCCGUGGUGGGUGAUUUUGGGCUCGCGAAGCUCAUGGAUUACAAGGACACUCAUGUAACCACCGCUGUUCGAGGUACAAUCGGGCACAUAGCUCCUGAAUAUCUCUCAACGGGUAAAUCUUCGGAGAAAACGGAUGUGUUUGGGUAUGGAGUUAUGCUUCUGGAGAUCAUAACCGGGCAGAGGGCCUUCGAUCUUGCCCGCCUUGCCAACGAUGAUGAUGUCAUGCUGCUCGACUGGGUGAAAGGGCUGCUAAAGGACAAGAAAUAUGAGACAUUAGUAGACAUAGAUCUUCAAGGAGACUUUGUUGAAGAAGAAGUGGAGCAGCUAAUCCAGGUAGCUCUUCUCUGCACACAAAACUCGCCAUUGGAGCGCCCCAAGAUGUCUGAAGUUGUACGGAUGCUAGACGGCGAUGGCUUGGCUGAGAAGUGGGAGGAGUGGCAGAAGGAAGAAACUUUCCGGGCAGAUCUCAUCCACACCCACCACCACAAUCCUAACACCGAAUGGAUCAUCGCCGAUUCCACUUCAAAUAUCCGGCCAGACGAGCUGUCUGGCCCGAGAUGAUGAACCUUCAUUCCUACUUCCAUCACCAAACAUGAAACCGAGUUUUUUUUUCACUUUUGGUUCCACACCAAUGGAACAAUUUCCACAUUAAAUCUUUGUCACAUUUAGUACUUCUGAUCUAAUUUCCGGUCAUGAUUAUGGUUCGGGUGGUGACUUGCCUUAAAGGGCAAAAUUGUCAUUUCAAUUAUUCUUUCCUAAACUUUUCGAGGAGGAACUUUUGUCACGGAUGACCAAAAAUAAGGUCGGAAGGACCAAAUGUAAGACAAAAUAUGAAAAAUCAAUAGUCUGAGACCAAAUGUGGACUAGAAGUGGAAAAACUCUAUUCAACCCAAGAAAUGUAUGUUGUAAGAUUUUCAAA